CGCAAGAGUGACGUAAGGCUAAGCACAUGCCCGUAUCAGGGGGAUAAUCCAGGAAACUUGGUCUAAUACCCCAUAGUAAUCAUGGAAGCAUCUUUUAUGAUUUAAAGCUUUGGUGGAUACGGAUUGGCUCGCGUGACAUUAGUUAGAUGGUAAGGUAACGGCUUACCAUGACUAUGAUGUCUAGGGUUCUGAAGGAAGUCCCCCACACUGGAACUGAGACACGGUCCAGACUCCUACGGGAGGCAGCAGUGAGGAAUAUUGGACAAUGGAUGGAAAUCUGAUCCAGCCAUGCCGCGUGCAGGAAGAAUGUCCUAUGGAUUGUAAACUGCUUUUGUAUGGGAGCAAUAAGGUCUUCGUGAAGGCCGAUGAGAGUACCAUACGAAUAAGCACCGGCUAACUCCGUGCCAGCAGCCGCGGUAAUACGGAGGGUGCAAGCGUUAUCCGGGAUUUAUUGGGGCUUAAAGGGGUGCGUAAGGCGGGUUAUAUAAGUCCAGGGGUGAAAUUUUUCCAGUUUAAUUGGGAAAACAUGGCCGGUUGGAUANCUUGUUUUAAUUUGGAAUUAUGGGUUGUUGGUGAAUUGGGAAUUGUUUUAUUGGUAAG
rnacentral:rRNA from 1 species